GUAUUUUCUCGAUAUUUGACUCGAUUUUUAAAUUGUUUUCGAGAUAUUUUUUCUAAAUUCGGUUAUUGGUUCAAAGAUGUGCAAGUCGUACGUGUUAUUCUUCCCGGGAAAGACAACAAAAUUCAAACCUCGCUGUCCUCGCAAAAUAUGAGCAAAGCCAAAGAGGAUAUUUGAAUCAGCGAGCUAUAAACAGGUAUUUGACCGUAUUUCAUUCAAUUUUAUUUAUGCUUUAUCUUAUCUCACAUAAAAUUGGUGGGCUUUUUACUUAAGCUUGACGAUGAAAUGCACUUAUUUUGUUAAGAAAACAGCCUUUUGCUGUUUUUUGGUGUAAUUUGGCAUCUGUAUAUUUCAAAAUUUGGUUGCAGAAACUACAACUUUUUGUUAUUUAUAUUAAGGUACUUUAGAUAAUGCUAUUAACUCCAGACGUUCCUUCAAAGCAAACGGUAUGUCACGUAUGUGUUCAAAUAUAUUCAGGUUUUGUGUAAUAAUGACAUGUGCCAACUUUGCAUACAAGGCUAAUCAAUGUCAAUGACAAGACUUUUGGAGUACUCAAAUAUUUCCCAAAAUACCUGUAUAUAUAACUUAUAUAUACCCCCCCCCCCCUUCAAGAAAAUGCUUCUGUGUGAUGAAAAGAUAUUACAUUGGCCAUUUACAACAUGUUGGGAGCUGCAGUACACCCUGUUUAUUUUAUUUUUACUUGUCUAACGCCAGACGAUUUUACUCAUCAAUGGGGAAGCUCUGCAGCUUAAUGGGUUUAACAAUUUGGAACACCAGGCAUACUGGAUGGCAAUCUGGCAAUUACUUCGUAACUACUGUAUGUUGCUUCCCUUGCACUGGGAAGGUACCUUGUAUCCUGGCCACUUUUGAUUAUUAUACUAUUAACCCAUUAAGCUGCAGAGCUUCCCCAUUGACAAGUAAAAUCAUCCGGCGUUAAACAAGUUAAAAAAAUAAGUAGGGCGCACUGCAGCUCAAUGUGUUAACUAGAGGCAUUGUCAGAUUUUUUGGUUAACCCAUUAAGCUGCAGAGCUUCCCCAAUUGACAAGUAAAAUCGUCUGGUGUCAGACAAGUAAAAAAAGUAGGGCAUGCUGGGGCGCAUUGCGGCUCAAUGGGUUAAGCCUGAUAAUUGCACCAAUGGUUCUGGUGUCUCUGAGUCGCAUUGUUUUGUUUUUCCCAUCAUCAUUUUUGUGCUCAAAGUUACAACAUAUAAUAUAUUUUUGUUUAUUCCAGAAUUAUCUCACAAUUGGGAUAUCAUAAUCUGGCAUUUGUCCUGACUCACUCUGGUUUCCCAGUUAACCCAUAGAGUGGCUCUCCCAUUGACAAGUAAAAGUAGGGCAGGCAAAAUACAGUACAAGCAAGAUGUAUGGAAAUUGAAGACACAAAAGCUGGAUUAAUUUUGAACUAUUUUAAUUGGACUUUUCAAUACAGUAAAAUUAUUAACAG